rnacentral:rRNA from 1 species
AACGAACGCUGGCGGCAUGCCUAACACAUGCAAGUCGAACGAGAUCUUCGGGUCUAGUGGCGCACGGGUGCGUAACGCGUGGGAAUCUGCCCUUUGGUUCGGAAUAACAGUUGGAAACGACUGCUAAUACCGGAUGAUGACGAAAGUCCAAAGAUUUAUCGCCAGAGGAUGAGCCCGCGUAGGAUUAGCUAGUUGGUGUGGUAAAGGCGCACCAAGGCGACGAUCCUUAGCUGGUCUGAGAGGAUGAUCAGCCACACUGGGACUGAGACACGGCCCAGACUCCUACGGGAGGCAGCAGUGGGUAAUAUUGGACAAUGGGCGAAAGCCUGAUCGAGCAAUGCCGCGUGAGUGAUGAAGGCCUUAGGGUUGUAAAGCUCUUUUACCCGGGAUGGUAAUGACAGUACCGGGAGAAUAAGCUCCGGCUAACUCCGUGCCAGCCGCCGCAGUAA